rnacentral:rRNA from 1 species
ACGUAAAGAUUUAAAGGUCGAACAGACCUAUUACCUUAAGCUUCUGCACUUAAGAAUUUCUUUAAUUCAACAUCGAGGUCGCAAUCUUUAUUAUCGAUAUGAACUCUCCAAUAAAAUUACGCUGUUAUCCCUAAGGUAACUUAUUCUAAUAAUCACAAAUUAUGGAUCAAAUAUUCACAUAUUAGUGUUGUUUAUAUUUAAAAAGAGUUAAUUUAAUCUUUAUGUCACCCCAACAAAACAAUAUUAUUACUAAAAAAAUUUAUUAUACUAAUAUUAUCUAAUAACAAAAUUAUAAAGUUCUAUAGGGUCUUCUCGUCCUCUAAUAAAAUUUUAGUUUUUUAACUAAAAAAAUAAAUUCUUAAAUUUUAAAAAUGAGACAGUUUACACUUCGUUCAACCAUUCAUUCUAGCCUUCAAUUAAAAGGCAAAUGAUUAUGCUACCUUUGCACAGUCAAAAUACUGCGGCCCUUCAAUAAAUAUAUUCAGUGGGCAGGUUAGACUUUAAAUUAUUCUCAAAAAGAC